rnacentral:rRNA from 1 species
GUGAGGAAUAUUGGUCAAUGGGCGAGAGCCUGAACCAGCCAAGUCGCGUGAAGGAAGACGGCCCUACGGGUUGUAAACUUCUUUUGCAAUGGAAUAAAAAGAGUUACGUGUAAUUCAUUGUAUGUACAUUGCGAAUAAGGAUCGGCUAACUCCGUGCCAGCAGCCGCGGUAAUACGGAGGAUCCGAGCGUUAUCCGGAUUUAUUGGGUUUAAAGGGUGCGUAGGCGGAUUGGAAAGUCAGCGGUGAAAGUUUGCAGCUUAACUGUAAAAUUGCCAUUGAAACUGUCAGUCUUGAGUGCAAAUGAGGUAGGCGGAAUGUGUUGUGUAGCGGUGAAAUGCAUAGAUAUAACACAGAACACCAAUUGCGAAGGCAGCUUACUGGGAUGCAACUGACGCUGAGGCACGAAAGCGUGGGGAUCAAACAGGAUUAGAUACCCUUGUAGUCC